GCAUAAGGGAAACCCGCUAAGAUCGUGACGUCAUGUCACAACGCGGGAUACGGUACAUCUUGUACG
rnacentral:sRNA from 1 species